GACGAACGCUGGCGGCGUGCCUAAUACAUGCAAGUUGAGCGAUGAAGAUUGGUGCUUGCCCCAAUUUGAAGAGCAGCGAACGGGUGAGUAACGCGUGGGGAAUCUGCCUUUGAGCGGGGGACAACAUUUGGAAACGAAUGCUAAUACCGCAUAACAACUUUAAACAUAAGUUUUAAGUUUGAAAGAUGCAAUUGCAUCACUCAAAGAUGAUCCCGCGUUGUAUUAGCUAGUUGGUGAGGUAAAGGCUCACCAAGGCGAUGAUACAUAGCCGACCUGAGAGGGUGAUCGGCCAAAUUGGGACUGAGACACGGCCCAAACUCCUACGGGAGGCAGCAGUAGGGAAUCUUCGGCAAUGGACGAAAGUCUGACCGAGCAACGCCGCGUGAGUGAAGAAGGUUUUCGGAUCGUAAAACUCUGUUGGUAGAGAAGAACGUUGGUGAGAGUGGAAAGCUCAUCAAGUGACGGUAACUACCCAGAAAGGGACGGCUAACUACGUG
rnacentral:rRNA from 1 species